rnacentral:tRNA from 1 species
UCAUAGCAUAUGAACACUUUGAACUAAUGCUAGCCCUAAUAAAUUUAAANNCAAAU